GAUGAACGCUGGCGGCGUGCUUAACACAUGCAAGUCGAACGAAGCACCUUGAUUUGAUUCUUCGGAUGAAGAUUUUGGUGACUGAGUGGCGGACGGGUGAGUAACGCGUGGGUAACCUGCCUCAUACAGGGGGAUAACAGUUAGAAAUGACUGCUAAUACCGGAUAACAACACUAGACGCAUGUCUAGGGUUUGAAAGAUGGUUCUGCUAUCACUCUUGGAUGGACCUGCGGUGCAUUAGCUAGUUGGUAAGGUAACGGCUUACCAAGGCAAUGAUGCAUAGCCGAGUUGAGAGACUGAUCGGCCACAAUGGAACUGAGACACGGUCCAU
rnacentral:rRNA from 1 species